CAGUAGCCGCGGGAAUACGUAGGGUGCGAGCGUUAAUCGGAAUUACUGGGCGUAAAGCGUGCGCAGGCGGUUGUGUAAGACAGGUGUGGAAUCCCCGGGCUUAACCUGGGAACUGCGCUUGUGACUGCACAGCUAGAGUAUGGCAGAGGAGGGUGGAAUUCCACGUGUAGCAGUGAAAUGCGUAGAGAUGUGGUGGAAUACCGAUGGCGAAGGCAGCCCCCUGGGCCAAUACUGACGCUCAUGCACGAAAGCGUGGGGAGCAAACAGGAUUAGAUACCCCUGUAGUCCCUGUCUCUUAUAC
rnacentral:rRNA from 1 species